rnacentral:rRNA from 1 species
GAUGAACGCUGGCGGCGUGCCUAAUACAUGCAAGUAGAACGCUGAAGGAGGAGCUUGCUCUUCUGGAUGAGUUGCGAACGGGUGAGUAACGCGUAGGUAACCUGCCUGGUAGCGGGGGAUAACUAUUGGAAACGAUAGCUAAUACCGCAUGACAACAGUUAUUGCAUGAUAACUGUUUAAAAGGGGCAACUGCUCCACUACCAGAUGGACCUGCGUUGUAUUAGCUAGUUGGUGAGGUAACGGCUCACCAAGGCGACGAUACAUAGCCGACCUGAGAGGGGGAUCGGCCACACUGGGACUGAGACACGGCCCAGACUCCUACGGGAGGCAGCAGUAGGGAAUCUUCGGCAAUGGACGGAAGUCUGACCGAGCAACGCCGCGUGAGUGAAGAAGGUUUUCGGAUCGUAAAGCUCUGUUGUAAGAGAAGAACGAGUGUGAGAGUGGAAAGUUCACGCUGUGACGGUAUCUUACCAGAAAGGGACGGCUAACUACGUG